GUCAGAUGUCUGCUGAGAAGAGAUUAUCUUUUCGCCAGGCUUUGUGUGUUUAACUCCUACCCCACCCUAAGAUGGGCAGGGUCCCUACUACAUGUCUAGCACUAGGUGCUGGAGAUAAAAUUAAGACCAACCACAAUUCCCCAUAGAUGCCUAUAGGACACCGUGGGAAUAAGUAAGAGAGGCAGAGAGUGGUCAUCAAUAUUGGAAGCACUGGGGAAGACUGCAGGGAGAUCCCAGGAAUCUGAAGGCCCUAUGACAGUCAUGGCGCAGAGCCCAUCGAUAACCUCAGAAAGAAAGAGGACAUCAGAGUGAACACUGUGGACCAGUGCACUAGUUGUUUUAUUGAAAUGCUGUGGUGGAAAAGAAGCUGAAAACUGGACUGAUGCACUAAGUCACUGUAAGAAUUAACUGCUCGGCUGGAGAGAUGGCUUAGCGGUUAAGCGAUUGCCUGUGAAGCCUAAGGACCCUGGUUAGAGGCUUGAUUCCCCAGGACCCAUGUAAGCCAGAUGC